GUACUGUGGAACCAGUCGGUUCCUUUAACACACAUUUGAGUGGGAUUACGAAGUACUGAAUGACGACUCCCAGAAGUUUCUUGGCCAUGUAGCCAGGCAUACUGUAGAGGAACAGGGCCACGAUGGCAAGCAGGAGCAGAGCCAGAACGAUUUUGAUGACCAGCCACUUGUACUGGUUGCAGACAAGGUGCCGGAUUGCUUUUAGUGGGCUGCUGUGCUUCUACCAGGUUUAUCUACAAUCAAAUUAUACUUUUGAUGAUUUGAGAAGGCAUUCUUUCUCUUCUAUCUAAUGUUGGUAUGUACACAUUCUUUGUCUUAUUCUGAUUAUGUAGGCCCCAACGUUACUGAAACAGUUAGGCCUCCUAAGCAGAUGUAUUCCAUAUGUUUUUGAACAUAUCUGUCUUCUGAACAAGGAGCAUUUAGU
ensembl:lncRNA